CUUGUAUUAGCUUGAUUGUGGUUCCUAGCCUUUGAAUGUGAGGCGUAACCAUUUUAAAUUAAUUCUUUCAAGGAGAAAAGAUUUACUUCAACUAAUUCAUGGCCUCUUAAAUUUCUAUUAGAUCCCUUUUCUAUGAGGUUCUUUAUCUCUUAAUUAUUAAGAGUACUUUACAAGUCAACAAUAGUGGAGCAUCUCAGAUGGAAAGGACGAUGGUGAUGUUGGAAACGUUCGAUCGAGUGAAAAGAGAUUUAGAAGAAUUGACAUCUUCUAUGAAAUUGGUCCAAUAAAGGGUCUCCUUGAUUCAAUUAGAGUUUCCCUGCUUUUAAAUCACUGGCAAUUGUGUGGGUUUCAGGCUUGUAGAGACGGGGUUUUUUUUUUCUAGAAACGGUUUUAUGCGAAAGUUUAAAUAUAAGGAGUACAAUAUCAAGGUGAAUCGAAAACUGAAGAUGGUAACAUGAAACUAUAUCAUCGGAAGUGAUCGGCAUCUUUCCCGACAGCAAACCGAAAGAUCUAGAUCUGCUUAUCCCAUUUAUGCCACGUGGAUGAUACAUAGCUCACCGACCUACACAUGUAUCAUAUUUGUAAUCGUAUAGAGUUAUAAAAAUUAUACUCUUUAGAUUUAAUGAAAUAUGAAGUUGACAAAAAAAAUUAAAAUUGUAAUUAUAAUGUUUUAGUGGGAUUUAAAUGUUUUUUUAGAUAUAUAUGUUUG